rnacentral:lncRNA from 1 species
UAGAUUUUUCCAGAAAAAAUCCUUCAUUUAAAAUAAUUAGACGUCUCUUUUAUAACCAAAGUCUUAAGGCGACAAAAUCUUUUUGUUUUCCUUUUAGUCCUUUACCCAUUUUUCAGAUUUGCCUAAAUGAUCCUUGAUUUUCUAACUUGUGACUCAAGUUUUAAGGCAGAUUUGACAGAAAUUGUAUUUUGACCCUUCAUUAGAAUGUUCCUGGAGUUUGUUACAGAUUCCCAUGUUCAAAUAACCUUAAUACCCCUGUUUUCUUUUCUUAAUUACUGACUAUAUGUGUUACAACAUGAUGCCUGUCUAUUUGGUCAACAAUUGACCCUAAGUAACUACCUAAGGUCAUAAACCAACGUUAUUAUCAGCUGGGAUCACAUUUGAGGGUUAUACUAUACUAUGCAAGAGCAAACGAUCAAGGGUCAAAAACUGAUCAGUGCAACACAUAUAUUCAGGCAAAUAUCACAAUGUGGAAUUG